rnacentral:rRNA from 1 species
GUAACUGCGAGUGAAGAGGGAAAAGCUCAAAUUUAAAAUCUGGCAGCUUCGCUGUCCGAGUUGUAAUUUAGAGAAGUGAUGCCCGUGCUGGACCGUGUACAAGUCUCCUGGAAUGGAGCGUCAUAGAGGGUGAGAAUCCCGUCUUUGACACGGACUCCCAGUGCAUUGUGGUACGCUCUCAAAGAGUCGUGUUGUUUGGGAAUGCAGCACUAAAUGGGUGGUAAAUUCCAUCUAAAGCUAAAUAUUGGCGAGAGACCGAUAGCAAACAAGUACCGUGAGGGAAAGAUGAAAAGAACUUUGGAAAGAGAGUUAAACAGUACGUGAAAUUGUUGAAAGGGAAACGCUUAAAGUCCAGUCGCGUCUUCUGGGAAUCAGUCUUGCUUCUGCGUGAUGUACUUUCUAGUUGACGGGUCAGCAUCAGUUUUGACCGGUGGAUAAGAGUUGGAGGAAUGUGGCACCUUCGGGUGUGUUAUAGCCUCUGAUUGUAUACGCCGGUUGGGACUGAGGAACUCAGCACGCCGCAAGGCCGGGUCUUUUUUGACCACGUUCGUGCUUAGGAUGCUGGCAUAAUGGCUUUAAUCGACCCGUCUUGAAACACGGACCAAGGAGUCUAACAUGCCUGCGAGUAUUUGGGUGGAAAACCCGAGUGCGUAAUGAAAGUGAAAGUUGAGAACUCUCUAGAGUGCAUCGACGCCCGGACCAGACGUUUUCUGACGGAUCCGCGGUAGAGCAUGUAUGUUGGGACCCGAAAGAUGGUGAACUAUGCCUGAAUAGGGUGAAGCCAGAGGAAACUCUGGUGGAGGCUCGUAGCGAUUCUGACGUGCAAAUCGAUCGUCGAAUUUGGGUAUAGGG